GCUGCUUUUUCUUUGAAAUGUUACAACAGUGUCGGAUGAUAUUAUUAGAAAGAGCGACGGCUCACCUGGAAGGACCCCAGCCCCAGCUCAAAGACCAGCCUCUCCCUCUUGCUGACGUCCUCGGAACACGGUGAUGGAAAACGUAAAAUCAAGUUGGGUGACAGGAAGGAAGUCUGGCUGAACUCAACUCCACAACCAGACUCGGACUUCCUGCCGACAGGUGUGACCCACAGACAGGUAAAUGCUGGAUUCGUUUCCUCCGAUGUCGGGCGACUGCAGCUUCUGCACCAGGAUGAUGAUGAUUCCGAUGAAGAGGACGAAGUUGAUCUGACAGCAAACAGGACAUCACAUGUCAUUGACUGAGACUUCCUGCUCCACCAGGUUGGAAAGGAGGUUUGAAAACUCCCAGAAUCCCUUGCUCCAGAGUCGUCUGAAGGCCUGAAUGACUGUUCUUCAGCAUGAACCUGGAGUUUCUGCUUUAGAAGAUUUUCUGUCUCAGUAGUUUAGUUCUUGGUUGAUUUCCUCUGUUGUUGAACUGUUAAUUUUUCUAUUUGAUUCGAUGUUUUAUUUUGUGUUUCUGUUAUUAAUCUUUCUGCUUAAAAUCCAGAGAAUUUAUGUUUAUGAAUGAAUGAUCUCAGACUUUCUUUUCUUGGUCAUUUGUGUUUAUGAGUUUGGAUUUGUUGAUUCAUUCCACCAAACCUCCUCGUUUAUUUCUUAUGUUUCCAAUUUCAGUGUUUUUCAACCAGUGUGCCGUGACAGAUGUUCAGGUGUGCCGUGACAGCCGUUCAGGUGUGCCGUGGGAAAUGAUUCACUUUCACUGAUCUAAAAACAUUUUCUAUCUCCAGGACAUCAACUCUGUUUUCAUCCAGACAGGCCCUGAUAAAACACUGAAUAGUGUUAGUGGAAUACACCAAAAAAUACUUUUUUUCUUUGGGUUUAUUUGAUUCCAAUAAAGAAUUUUUGAUAAGA